AGCAGCCGCGGUAAUUCCAGCUCCAAUAGCGUAUAUUAAAGUUGUUGCAGUUAAAAAGCUCGUAGUUGAAUUUCGGGAUCAAGUCGUCGGUCGUGCCUCGGUACGCACUGGUGACAUUGGUUUCUCCCUUCUGAAGAACCUUGAUGUCAUUAAUUUGGUGUCUUGGGGAAUCAGGACUGUUACUUUGAAAAAAUUAGAGUGUUUAAAGCAGGCUCACGCUUGAAUACAUUAGCAUGGAAUAAUGAAAUAGGACGUUUGAUUCUAUUUUGUUGGUUUCUAGGAUCGACGUAAUGAUUAAUAGGGAUAGUUGGGGGCAUUAGUAUUCAAUUGUCAGAGGUGAAAUUCUUGGAUUUAUUGAAGACUAACUACUGCGAAAGCAUUUGCCAAGGAUGUUUUCAUUAAUCAAGAACGAAAGUUAGGGGAUCGAAGACGAUCAGAUACCGUCGUAAUCUUAACCAUAAACUAUGCCGACUAGGGAUCGGAUGAUGUUAAUUUUUUAAUUGACUCAUUCGGCGCCUUA
rnacentral:rRNA from 1 species